ACUACGGUUAUACCUGUAAGC
rnacentral:misc_RNA from 1 species